GCAAGUCGAACGGUAAGGUCUUUUCGGAGAUACACGAGUGGCGCACGGGUGAGUAACGCGUAUGCAAUCUGCCUCUAACUGGAGGAUAGCUCUCGGAAACGGGAAUUAAUACUCCAUAGUAUUUAGUAAAGGCAUCUUUACUAUCUUAAAGCUCCGGCGGUUAGAGAUGAGCAUGCGUGACAUUAGUUUGUUGGUGAGGUAACUGCUCACCAAGACUACGAUGUCUAGGGGGUCUUAAAGGAUGGUC
rnacentral:rRNA from 1 species